GAUGAACGCUGGCGGCGUGCUUAACACAUGCAAGUCGAACGGAAAGGCCCAAGCUUGCUUGGGUACUCGAGUGGCGAACGGGUGAGUAACACGUGGGUGAUCUGCCCUGCACUUCGGGAUAAGCCUGGGAAACUGGGUCUAAUACCGGAUAGGACCACUUCUUGGAUGUUGUGGUGGAAAGUUUUUUCGGUGUGGGAUGAGCUCGCGGCCUAUCAGCUUGUUGGUGGGGUAAUGGCCUACCAAGGCGUCGACGGGUAGCCGGCCUGAGAGGGUGUACGGCCACAUUGGGACUGAGAGACGGCCCAGGCUCCUACGGGAGGCAGCAGUGGGGAAUAUUGCACAAUGGGCGCAAGCCUGAUGCAGCGACGCCGCGUGGGGGAUGACGGCCUUCGGGUUGUAAACUCCUUUCGCUAGGGACGAAGCGUUUUGUGACGGUACCUGGAGAAGAAGCACCGGCUAACUACGUG
rnacentral:rRNA from 1 species